rnacentral:rRNA from 1 species
CCCUUAGAUGUUCUGGGCCGCACGCGUGCUACACUGAGUGGAUCAGCGGGUCAGGUUGCGCGAAAGUGUUUCCUAAUCUUUAAAUCCGCUCGUGAUGAGGAUUGACGGUUGCAAUUUUCUGUCAUGAACGAGGAAUACCUUGUAAGCGCGGGUCAUCAUCCCGCGCUGAAUACGUCCCUGCCCUUUGUACACACCGCCCGUCGCUCCUACCGAUUGAGUGGUCCGGUGAGGCUUUGGGAUCUGAGCGGAAAGAGCGUUUCGCUGUUUCUGCUCGGAAAACUCAGUCGAACCUUAUCAUUUAGAGGAAGGAGAAGUCGUAACA